AGAGUUUGAUCCUGGCUCAGGAUGAACGCUAGCGGGAGGCCUAACACAUGCAAGCCGAGCGGUAGAAGAUCUUCGGAUCUUUGAGAGCGGCGCACGGGUGCGGAACACGUGUGCAACCUACCUUUAUCAGGGGGAUAGCCUUUCGAAAGGAAGAUUAAUACCCCAUAAUAUAUUGAAUGGCAUCAUUUGAUAUUGAAAACUCCGGUGGAUAGAGAUGGGCACGCGCAAGAUUAGAUAGUUGGUGAGGUAACGGCUCACCAAGUCAAUGAUCUUUAGGGGGCCUGAGAGGGUGAUCCCCCACACUGGUACUGAGACACGGACCAGACUCCUACGGGAGGCAGCAGUGAGGAAUAUUGGACAAUGGGUUAGCGCCUGAUCCAGCCAUCCCGCGUGAAGGACGACGGCCCUAUGGGUUGUAAACUUCUUUUGUAUAGGGAUAAACCUACUCUCGUGAGAGUAGCUGAAGGUACUAUACGAAUAAGCACCGGCUAACUCCGUGCCAGCAGCCGCGGUAAUACGGAGGGUGCAAGCGUUAUCCGGAUUUAUUGGGUUUAAAGGGUCCGUAGGCGGAUCUGUAAGUCAGUGGUGAAAUCUCAUAGCUUAACUAUGAAACUGCCAUUGAUACUGCAGGUCUUGAGUAAAGUAGAAGUGGCUGGAAUAAGUAGUGUAGCGGUGAAAUGCAUAGAUAUUACUUAGAACACCAAUUGCGAAGGCAGGUCACUAUGUUUUAACUGACGCUGAUGGACGAAAGCGUGGGGAGCGAACAGGAUUAGAUACCCUGGUAGUCCACGCCGUAAACGAUGCUAACUCGUUUUUGGGGCUUUUGCUUCAGAGACUAAGCGAAAGUGAUAAGUUAGCCACCUGGGGAGUACGUUCGCAAGAAUGAAACUCAAAGGAAUUGACGGGGGCCCGCACAAGCGGUGGAUUAUGUGGUUUAAUUCGAUGAUACGCGAGGAACCUUACCAAGACUUAAAUGGGAAAUGACCGGUUUAGAAAUAGACCUUUCGCAAGACAUUUUUCAAGGUGCUGCAUGGUUGUCGUCAGCUCGUGCCGUGAGGUGUUAGGUUAAGUCCUGCAACGAGCGCAACCCCUGUCACUAGUUGCUAACAUUCAGUUGAGGACUCUAGUGAGACUGCCUACGCAAGUAGAGAGGAAGGUGGGGAUGACGUCAAAUCAUCACGGCCCUUACGUCUUGGGCCACACACGUAAUACAAUGGCCGGUACAGAGGGCAGCUACACAGCGAUGUGAUGCGAAUCUCGAAAGCCGGUCUCAGUUCGGAUUGGAGUCUGCAACUCGACUCUAUGAAGCUGGAAUCGCUAGUAAUCGCGCAUCAGCCAUGGCGCGGUGAAUACGUUCCCGGGCCUUGUACACACCGCCCGUCAAGCCAUGGAAGUCUGGGGUACCUGAAGUCGGUGACCGUAACAGGAGCUGCCUAGGGUAAAACAGGUAACUAGGGCUAAGUCGUAACAAGGUAACCGUA
rnacentral:rRNA from 1 species